GCGCCGGCUGGGCAUGGGCGUGCCCAGGUGGCUGUAACCCACCCGCCUCCGGCAGUGCAGGUUCGACUCCUGCCCGGCGCA
rnacentral:tRNA from 1 species